rnacentral:rRNA from 1 species
AAGUGGGAUGACGUCAAAGUCAUCAUGCCCUUAUGACCUGGGCUACACACGUGCUACAAUGGUUGGUACAACGAGUUGCGAGUCGGUGACGGCGAGCUAAUCUCUUAAAGCCAAUCUCAGUUCGGAUUGUAGGCUGCAACUCGCCUACAUGAAGUCGGAAUCGCUAGUAAUCGCGGAUCAGCACGCCGCGGUGAAUACGUUCCCGGGCCUU